AUUUCUGGUAGGAAUGAGUGAAGGUGGUGGCCUAGAAGGUGCUUUAAGAAUGUUGUACCCGAUGCUAUUUUCAGUCUUUCAGGCCUGAGAGAUGUUCUUUCUUUCACACGUGCAUUAUAUUUGAUAGACUUUAAAGAUUCUCAAAAGGUUGAUUUUGUUUUGAAACGAAGUGAUAAAUAUCUCAUCCUGCAGUUUUGCUCGAAGAUGACUGGAAUCAGUUACGUCUCCCGAGGUUGUUGGCAGGGUGGCUCCAUACCUGGGAAGCCAGGAGGAAGCUAUGAAGCGUCUCUUGAGAGCAACCAAGUCUGAGAUCAUCCACGUUCUUCCAGAGGAGGCCCUGUGGGAACACCUGAAGACCAUAAAUGGGCACAUUUAACACUAGGUCGAUUUAGAGAUGGUGAAAUAAAAAAUGU
rnacentral:lncRNA from 1 species